UACGUAGGGGGCAAGCGUUGUCCGGAAUUAUUGGGCGUAAAGAGCGCGUAGGCGGUCCGAUAAGUCGGCUGUGAAAGUCAGGGGCUCAACCCUCGGAUGCCGAUCGAUACUGUCGGGCUAGAGUCCGGAAGAGGCGAGUGGAAUUCCUGGUGUAGCGGUGAAAUGCGCAGAUAUCAGGAGGAACACCAAUGGCGAAGGCGGUUCUCUGGGACGGUACUGACGCUGAGACGCGAAAGCGUGGGGAGCGAACGGG
rnacentral:rRNA from 1 species